UAAUGAAGAAUCCCAUUGAUACAACCAUCAAUCAAGAGAUUUGAUUAAGUCAACCUUAAUUAUGUAUUAUAAUCAUGUACAGAUAUUAGUUUCCUAAUUAGUCACUUUGAUACCUGUAUAUAUACUCAUUCAUAUCAAUGAAUAAAAUCAUCUUCUUACAAUAUCAAAUCCUUUAUGGUAUCAGAGCGCAAGCUGUAAAAGAAAAGCUUGCAGGCUCACCACAUUCUUCUUUUCCUUCCUUUUCCUCCAAAACUCAACCAACAACCAUGACUUCUUCUAACAUCUCUCACACAAACUCUUCAUCCUCUACCUCUGUCUCCACUCAAGUUACUCUAUCAGGGACUCGUGUACCCAACCAAACCUCAUCCAUUGUAGCAAUUAACACAAUACAGGUUCCCAUCAAACUUUCAAAAGGUGGGAAUUAUGCUGCCUGGCAAUCUCAAUUUGAGAAUCUUCUCUUUGGGUAUGGGCUCGUGGGAUUUUUGGAUGGCACUCAUCCCUGUCCAGCAAAAAAUAUUGAAGAUGCUGCAACCAAACAAUUGAUUCCAAAUCCAAAUCACCUCACCUGGCUUCGACAAGAUCGGUUAAUUCUCCAUGUCAUUCAAGUCUCAUGCAUGGGUACUGCACAAUCUAUUAUUUCUCACUCUAGAACAUCUGUUUAAGCGUGGACAAAGCUCAAAGCCGCCUACGCAAACAGAUCUAAUACUCGUAAGCUUAGUCUUCUAGGCUCGCUCACAAAUGUCAGUUUAUAAGGCAAAUCAGUUGCCGAAUAUAUGCAGGAAAUCAAAACUAUACUCGACGAUCUUGAACUCAUUGGUCAUACGGUGGAUGAAGGCGCUGUUGUCAUACAUAUCCUCAAUGGUCUUGGCCCCUCUUACAUGUCUCUUGUGUCUACAAUCCAUGCUCGAGACACUCCAAUUUCUUUUGAAGAACUUUAUGAUAAACUACUCGAUCAAGAGUCAGUUCUUCGGCGUAAUGAAGUGAAAAAGGGAGGUACACCAAUCACAGCUCACUAUAAUCAGAAAAGCUCCAACCGAAAAGGGCGAGGCUGCACUACCAACAAUCCAACCAUCACAGGUCAUUCUCAAUAAAUUGGUUCUUACAAUAAUUUCAGUCCACACUCUAGUAAUAAUGGCAGUCGUGGUUCCUCAUCAAAUCAACGUGGCUAUCAUUGACCCAAUAACAACCAUUUGUCUAACCAGCAACAUUAGCGUCCUCCUCUCUCCCAUGGUACUUCCCAACUUGUUUGCCAACUUUGUGACAGAGCUGGUCACAUUGCUCAUACCUGUUGAUCUCGUCCUCCUCCAAGAUCCCAACUGUGGCCUCAAGCUAAUCACAUGACUGCCGAGCAAUCUACACUUUGCAACAAUUGGAUACUUGACAUGGGGGAAUCUCAUCAUAUGACAUCAGAUCUGCACAAUCUGUCACUCCACUCUGAAUAUGGCGGUACUGAAGAUAUUAUGGUCGGGGACGGAUCUGACUACGGGGGCAUCCUUGGUCCGCGGCCAGAAUGACGGGAACCUCUAUGCUUGGCCAACGUCAACUAUAUAUGGCAAUACAACUCCUCAAACUUACAUGACCUUGUCCUCACCUCCUACCUCAUUAGAUUGGCAUCAUCGUUUAGGCCACCCAUCUCUUCCAAUUCUCCAACAAAUCCUCUCCUCUCACAAUCUCCCUGCUUCCAAAUUAAACUCUAAGUUUUCUCAUUGUAAUGCUUGCUUAUGUAACAAAAGUUACAAAUUACCAUUUAGUGUUUCAACACUACAAUGCAAUAAACCAUUAGAAGUUCUAUUUACUGAUGUUUGGAGUCCUGCUCAUUUAUCAUCCUUCAACCACUAUCGGUACUAUAUUAUUUUUGUAGAUUGUUUCACCAAGUACACGUAGUUAUAUUUGCUUAAAAACAAAUCAGAUGUUACUCAAAUAUUUCCUCGAUUGAAAACACUUAUCAAAAAUUUCUUCAACUCUAAAAUCAAAACUAUUUACUCAAAUUCUAGUGGUGAAGCUCAAUUACUUGGCCAUCUUUUAGCUGCUCAUGUUAUUCAACAUCUCAAAUCACCCCCUCAUACACCUGAUCAUGUCAGCCUUGCAGAACGAAAACACCGCCAUAUAGUCGAAACUGCCUUAACUCUGCUCCAUCAUGCUUUAAUGCCCCUUAAAUUUUGGUCACUAGCCUUCCAAGCAGCUGUAUAUUUAAUCAACCGAAUGCCCACUAAAACUCUCAAUAACAACACCCCCUAUUUCAGCAUUUUUCAUAAAGAACCCAACUACAAAAAAUUACGCAUAUUUGGGUGCUUGUGUUAUCCAUGGCUUCGCCCCUAUACAACUCACAAGCUACAACCACGAUCAAAACCAUGUGCCUUUGUCGGGUAUUCACUAGAAAACAAUGCUUAUCUUUGCCUAGACCCACAAACUAAUCGCAUCUAUAUAUCUCGCCAUGUCGUGUUCAUCGAAAGUAUUUUUUCUUUUAUAAAGCAUACUGCAAAUUCAAUCACUGAUAUCUCUACUACCAUCCUAAACUGGCUACAACCUCAAUCUGUCUCAUCACUCUCUAAUGAUUUUCUAUCUCCUACCCCUGAAUCCACCCCUCCUCACCUAAUCUUAAAUACCCAUUUACCAAUCGCUCCGUCCAUAUCAUCUCCUUCCUCAAAUCAACCAUAUUAGAAAAUUCACUCCCUCACUCCACUAAUAUCACUCUUGAAGAUUCUGCUACUACCCAACAACCUAACAAGCAUGGAGGCGCCAUUGAUUCUGUACGGGGACCUGACCUCGAUCCCGUGCAAUCAACGUCACAAGUAAAUACACAAACCCAUAUCUCUUCACCUCCACAAAGCAUCCAAACCCGUUCUAAAAAUAAUAUAUUUAAACCCAAACCCAUUUUUGACCUCCACACCACGACCCAAUCCCCUCCUCAAAAUGAGCCGACCACAAUUGCCCAAGCUCGCAAGUAUGAAGAAUGGCGUUAUGCUCUGAGUAGGCCGAAUAUGAUGCUCUUAUUCAAAACUCAACCUGGUCCUUAGUUCCUUCAUCCUUCUCAAAACAUUGUCGGUUGUAAGUGAGUUUUCAGAAUUAAAAGAAAUCCUGAUGGCUCUAUGGCUCAUUAUAAAGCCCGUCUUAUCGCAAAAGGAUUCCACCAAAGGCCAUGAAUUGAUUUUGUCGAGACCUUUAGUCCUGUUGUUAAAUCUGUCACUAUUCGUUUAAUUCUAACAAUUGUUGUGACUAACAGCUGGUCUAUCCGCUAGCAAGAUGUUAAUAAUGCCUUCUUGCAGGGCACUCUUACGGAUAAUGUUUACAUGAAACAACUACCUAGAUUUAUUCACUCCCAACUUCCGAGACAUGUUUGCAAACUGAAGAAAGCCAUUUAUGGUCUCCGGCAGGCUCCUCGUGCAUGGUACCAUGAGCUUCGCACUUUUUUACUUCAGUCUGGGUUCACCAAUUCCACCUGCGAUGCAUCUCUAUUUGUUCGGCAUUGUUCAGAUUACACUAUGUACUUACUGGUAUAUGUCGACGAUAUCAUCGUCACUGGCUCAUCCACAUCAAGAAUCCAAGACUUUAUACAUACUCUAGCUUGCCGGUUCUCCAUCAAAGAUCUUGGCACAUUGACCUACUUCCUUGGUGUUGAGGCGUAUACCACAACUCGAGGGCUGUUCUUAUCUCAGAAAAAGUAUAUUAGUGAUCUCCUCCACAAGACCCAUAUGCAAGAUGCCAAAGCUGUGUCCAUACCACUUUCCUCAACUAAGACCUUGACACUCAAUGAUGGUAGUACUCCUACAGAUGCCAUUCAAUACUGCUAAGUAGUUGGAUCACUUCAGUACCUCUCAUUGACUCGCCCAGAUGUCUCAUUUGUAGUAAACAAACUUUCUCAAUUCAUGCAUCGCCCAACCAGUCUUCAUUGGAACUCUAUCAAACGUGUUCUUCGUUAUCUCAAAGGCACUCUUGAUUAUAGCUUGCUCAUUCGACGAAAUUCUACUCUCAACCUUCAUACGUUUUCCGAUGAUGAUUGGGCAGGUGACUCUGAUGAUCGUCAUGGGGGCCACUCCAAUAAGUUGGAGUUCCAAGAAGCAAAAUAUUGUUGCUCGCUCUUCCACUGAAGCAGAAUAUCGAGCAAUUGCAUCCUUUGCUGCAGAACUCAACUUCGUCAGCCAUCUUUUAUCGAAACAUCAUAUUCAACUGCCCAGCACUCCUGUCAUUUACUGCGACAAUAUUGGUGCCACAUAUGUUUAUGCCAAUCCUAUUUUUCAUAGCCGAAUGAAACAUGUUGCUAUAGAUUUCUUCUUCGUUCGCGACCAGGUGGCAAGGAAUCAGUUACGCAUCUCUCAUAUCCAUAUCAAUGAUCAACUGGUAGACUCAUUAACAAAGGCUCUACCUCGUCGGAAAUUUCAUAAUCAUUGGUCCAAGAUAGGCAUCCUAGAAAGACGCUCUAUCUUGCGGGGGCAUGAUAGCACUGAUAAUGAAGAAUCACAUUGAUACAGCCAUCAAUCAAGAUAUUUGAUUAAGUCAACCUUAAUUAUGUAUUAUAAUCAUGUACAUAUAUUAGUUUCCUAAUUAGUCACUUUGAUACCUGUAUAUAUACUCAUUCAUAUCAAUGAAUAAAAUUAUCUUCUCACAAUAUCAAAUCCUUUAUUAUGGGAUCAAGGAUAUGUAUGGAAAGUAGGAGAUGGUUAUUCAAUU